rnacentral:rRNA from 1 species
ACGCUCGACACCUACGGUAGGCAGCAGUGGGGAAUAUUGCACAAUGGAGGAAACUCUGAUGCAGCGAUGCCGCGUGAGGGAAGAAGGUUUUCGGAUUGUAAACCUCUGUCUUUGGGGACGAUAAUGACGGUACCCAAGGAGGAAGCUCCGGCUAACUACGUGCUAGCAGCCGCGGUAAUCUGAGCGGGCUGGCAAGGC